rnacentral:rRNA from 1 species
UGGGGAAUUUUGGACAAUGGGCGAAAGCCUGAUCCAGCAAUGCCGCGUGUGUGAAGAAGGCCUUCGGGUUGUAAAGCACUUUUGUCCGGAAAGAAAUCCUUGGCUCUAAUACAGUCGGGGGAUGACGGUACCGGAAGAAUAAGCACCGGCUAACUACGUGCCAGCAGCCGCGGUAAUACGUAGGGUGCAAGCGUUAAUCGGAAUUACUGGGCGUAAAGCGUGCGCAGGCGGUUUGCUAAGACCGAUGUGAAAUCCCCGGGCUCAACCUGGGAACUGCAUUGGUGACUGGCAGGCUAGAGUAUGGCAGAGGGGGGUAGAAUUCCACGUGUAGCAGUGAAAUGCGUAGAGAUGUGGAGGAAUACCGAUGGCGAAGGCAGCCCCCUGGGCAAUACUGACGCUCAUGCACGAAAGCGUGGGGAGCAAAACAGGAUUAGAUACCCUGGUAGUCCACGCCCUAAACGAUGUCAACUAGUUGUUGGGGAUUCAUUUCCUUAGUAACGUAGCUAACGCGUGAAGUUGACCGCCUGGGGAGUACGGUCGCAAGAUUAAAACUCAAAUGAAUUGACGGGGUCAUAGCU